CGUCAGCUCGUGUCGUGAGAUGUUGGGUUAAGUCCCGCAACGAGCGCAACCCUUACGAAUAGUUGCUACGCAAGAGCACUCUAUUAGGACUGCCGUUGACAAAACGGAGGAAGGUGGGGAUGACGUCAAAUCAUCAUGCCCCUUAUGACCUGGGCUACACACGUAAUACAAUGGCGGUCAACAGAGGGAAGCAACGCCGCGAGGCCGAGCGAAUCCUCAAAAGCCGUCUCAGUUCGGAUUGCAGGCUGCAACUCGCCUGC
rnacentral:rRNA from 1 species